rnacentral:lncRNA from 1 species
AUAUCUUAAUUGGAAAUAUUUCGCACAAACAAACACAUAAAAGAUAAUUUUGAUAUAUGCAAAUUUCUUUAGCCUUCAAUGAAAAUUUUAUGGCUAAAUUGGGUCUCAAAGUUGAGAGCAAAAUAUGCUUUCAAAGUUCAAACGAAGAUGGUGGUUUCAGCAUUAUGACGUCGCAGAAAGGCGUGAAAGCAAAAAUUUAAAAUAGCCUUCCAACACAUCAUAAUUAUUUUGACUAGUGAACGGGCUAUUAUGAUUAUCAUGAACUAUUAACGAUUGCAAUUAUGUGCAAGCAAAGAAAUGGAUUACGCAUCGUUAUGACAAUUUAAAAUAUGUAAGAAACACGUGUAGUUCUAGGGUCACUAAUGCAAUUAAGAGACUAUAAACAAUC